rnacentral:rRNA from 1 species
UACGUAGGUCCCGAGCGUUGUCCGGAUUUAUUGGGCGUAAAGCGAGCGCAGGUGGUUUAUUAAGUCUGGUGUGAAAGGCAGUGGCUCAACCAUUGUAUGCAUUGGAAACUGGUAGACUUGAGUGCAGGAGAGGAGAGUGGAAUUCCAUGUGUAGCGGUGAAAUGCGUAGAUAUAUGGAGGAACACCGGUGGCGAAAGCGGCUCUCUGGUCUGUAACUGACGCCGAGGUUCGAAAGCGUGGGUAGCAAACAGG